rnacentral:lncRNA from 1 species
CCUUUGCAGUGUGAAUGUAAGAACAUCUGGAUCAAAGUCUGGUUGGAUGACAGUGAGAGAGAUGAGCUGCUGUGUCUACAGGAAGGAGGAAAAGCAAAAGCCCUGUCUAGACUCACUCUUCCUUCAUGUGAGUAUCCACGUGUCGAGGUCAUCCCUGCUGUUGUCAGUCAAAUGGCAGGAAGUGAUGCCACAGUGAUGUGUAGUGUGUCAGGAGCCCCGACCCCUGAGCUCUCCUGGAGCUUAAACUCCAGUGAUCACCCUCCUCUCUCAACCAGCUAUGAGAUUUCUCACAAAAUGGAGCUGCAGUCUAUUCUGACUCUAAGUGGACUUUCACCUGAUGACAACGGCAGAGAGCUCACCUGUAGUGCCGAGAACAUUGUUGGCCAGACUGAGGCUUCAGUCCUUCUCAAUAUUCUUUGUAAGAACUCCCAUUGUGUUGUGUGGAU